rnacentral:rRNA from 1 species
CAAAAAGCCGAUCGUAGUCCGGAUUGGAGUCUGCAACUCGACUCCAUGAAGUCGGAAUCGCUAGUAAUCGCGGAUCAGAAUGCCGCGGUGAAUACGUUCCCGGGCCUUGUACACACCGCCCGUCACACCAUGGGAGUUUGUUGCACCAGAAGUAGCUAGCCUAACUGCAAAGAGGGCGGUUACCACGGUGUGGCCGAUGACUGGGGUGAAGUCGUAACAAGGUAGCCGUAGGGGAACCUGCGGCUGGAUCACCUCCUUA